rnacentral:rRNA from 1 species
ACGAAGGGGGCUAGCGUUGCUCGGAAUGACUGGGCGUAAAGGGCGCGUAGGCGGCAUGCACAGUCAGAUGUGAAAUUCCUGGGCUCAACCUGGGGACUGCAUUUGAUACGUGUGAGCUAGAGUGGAGAAGAGGGUCGUGGAAUUUCCAGUGUAGAGGUGAAAUUCGUAGAUAUUGGAAAGAACACCGGUGGCGAAGGCGGCGACCUGGUCUUUAACUGACGCUGAGGCGCGAAAGCGUGGGGAGCAAACAGGAUUAGAUACCCUGGUAGUCCACGCUGUAAACGAUGUGUGCUGGAUGUUGGGGAACUUAGUUUCUCAGUGUCGUAGCUAACGCGAUAAGCACACCGCCUGGGGAGUACGGCCGCAAGGUUG